UACAGAGGUCCCAAGCGUUGUUCGGAUUCACUGGGCGUAAAGGGUGCGCAGGUGGGUUGGCAAGUUCGAUGUGAAAGCCCCGGGCUUAACCCGGGAAUGGCAUUGGAUACUGCUGAUCUGGAGGAUCGGAGGGGGGACUGGAAUUCUUGGUGUAGCAGUGAAAUGCGUAGAUAUCAAGAGGAACACCAGUGGCGAAGGCGAGUCCCUGGACGAUACCUGACACUGAGGCACGAAAGCCAAGGGAGCAAACGGG
rnacentral:rRNA from 1 species